rnacentral:rRNA from 1 species
UUGCCUACGGGGGGCAGCAGUGAGGAAUAUUGGUCAAUGGCCGAGAGGCUGAACCAGCCAAGUCGCGUGAGGGAUGACGGCCCUACGGGUUGUAAACCUCUUUUGUCGGGGAGCAAAGAGAGUCACGUGUGGCUCAUUGAGAGUACCCGAAGAAAAAGCAUCGGCUAACUCCGUGCCAGCAGCCGCGGUAAUACGGAGGAUGCGAGCGUUAUCCGGAUUUAUUGGGUUUAAAGGGUGCGCAGGCGGGCUGUUAAGCCGGCGGUAAAAAUUCAGGGCUCAACCCUGUCGAGCCGUCGGAACUGGCA